rfam:Gorilla gorilla gorilla genomic chromosome, chr5, whole genome shotgun sequence
GCCGGGCAUGGUGGCGCAUGCCUGUGAUCCCAGCUACUCGGGAGGCUGAGGCAAGAGAAUUGCUUGAACUCAGGAGGCACAGGUUGCAGUGAGCCGAGAUCAUGCCACUGCACUCCAGCCUGGGUAUCAGAGCAAGACUCUGUCUCAA